GUAGUAGUGACGAAUCCUAAGACAAGGGAUCUCCACUACUGCGGCCACACACUUUUCUCCCAAACGCUUCCCGGAAAGCACCGGAGGGCUGGGCAGUCAGGUGUAAACAGGCGUCCAAUCAAGGACCUGCAGUGUGGGUGGUGGGGGCUGGUGCCCUGGGGUGCGAGCGCACACAGGCGUGCCCUUGGUUUCACGUGCGCCAGUUUUCCCACUUUCUACGGGGGGGAGUGGAAAGUGAAAAUAGUAAGAUCGAGAGGUGGAUAUCCACCUUCCCAACCUCCACCUGAAAUGUGCCCAUCGAGUCCUAGCACCUUUUACCAUUUCUUCCCAAUGAAAAAAACUAAACGAUGUAAGGGAAGGGAGUACCCACGACCACCAAACCCUGUCCUCUGCAAUGUGAAAUGUGCUUUGAAGUCCUCUCACCCUGAGGCUUGCCCGCCUUCUGCUGGUGAAAGAAGCUGGGGGCUAGGCGCGGUGGGUCACGCCUGUAAUCCCAGCACUUUGGGAGGCCGAGGUGGGCGGAUCAUCUGAGGUGAGGAGUUCCAGACCAGCCUGGCCAACAUGGAGAAACCCCGC
rnacentral:lncRNA from 1 species